rnacentral:rRNA from 1 species
CUUUUUAGUUUUUUUGAAAUUUAAAUAUUAUUUAGUAUAAAAAUAUUUGGUAUAAUAAAUAAAAUAAUAUUUUUUAUAGUAUAGUAUGGAAUAAUUAGGGUUAAUGAAAGUUUAAAGUACAGUUAUGGAAGAAAUUAAAUAUAAUAAAAAGAUGAAAUUAUUUUUGUACCUUUUGUAUCAGGGUUUUAUAAAAAUUAUUUGUAUAAUUUAUUCUCGGAUAAUCAAGAUUUAAUUUAUUAUAAUUAAAAAUGUGAAAAAAUUUUAUUUAAUAAUAAAUUGGUAAUGAAAAGUUAUUCGGUUGGUUAGGAUUCUAGUUUUUAAAGAAAUUAAUUUAAUUAGCUUUUUUGUAUAAAUAUUAGUUUAUAAUUAAGUUAGUUUACUAAAAGUAAAAUAAUAAAAAGUUUAUUUUUUAUUAUUUUUAUAUUUUUAUUUUAAGGGGGUUUCUAGAUUUAAUAUUGAUAAUGAUAAAUAGUUUUUUAUAAAAAAAACUUAUAUAAAUAUAAUUUAUUUUAAAUUAAAUUUAUAUUUAAAUAUUUUUUUAUAUAAUUUAAAAUAAUUAAUAAUAUUUAAAUUAGUAAAUUUUAAAAUUUUAGUAUAGGAACUCGGCAAAUUUAAUUUUUGCCUGUUUAUCAAAAACAUGUCUUUUUGAAUUUAUAAAAAGUCCAAUCUGCUCACUGAAAUUUAAAGAGCCGCAGUAUAUUAACUGUGCAAAGGUAGCAUAAUAAUUAGUUUUUUAAUUGAAAGCUGGGAUGAAAGAUUAGACAAGAAAUUGACUUUCUUUAUUAUAAAAAUUGAAUUUAAAAUUUAAGUUAAAAUUCUUAAAUGAUAUUAAAAGACGAGAAGACCCUAUAGAUUUUUAUUUUAAUUUAAUUAAAAUAUAAUUUUGUAUUUAAAUUAAAAUUUAAUUGGGGUGAUUUUGUAAUAAAAAAAACUUAAUUUUAUUAAAACAUUGAUUAUUGAAUUUUUUGAUCUAAAAUUUUUAAUUAAGAGAUUAAAUUACCUUAGGGAUAACAGCGUAAUUUUAUUUACGAGUUCAUAUCUAUAAUAAAGUUUGCGACCUCGAUGUUGAAUUAAGAAAUAUAUAGGAGUAGAAAUUUAUAAUUAUUAGUCUGUUCGACUAUUAAAUUCUUACAUGAUUUGAGUUCAGACCGGCGUGAGCCAGGUCAGUUUCUAUCUUUAAUUUAUUUUUAUAAAUAAGUACGAAAGGACCAUUUAUAAAUAAAAAUUAUUUUUUUUUG